UUUAUUGGAGAGUUUGAUCCUGGCUCAGGAUGAACGCUGGCGGCGUGCCUAAUACAUGCAAGUCGAGCGAAUGGAUUAAGAGCUUGCUCUUAUGAAGUUAGCGGCGGACGGGUGAGUAACACGUGGGUAACCUGCCCAUAAGACUGGGAUAACUCCGGGAAACCGGGGCUAAUACCGGAUAACAUUUUGAACCGCAUGGUUCGAAAUUGAAAGGCGGCUUCGGCUGUCACUUAUGGAUGGACCCGCGUCGCAUUAGCUAGU
rnacentral:rRNA from 1 species